UAUGUUUUCACAAGAAGAGGAUAAAAACGAUUUUAUGAAUAUGUUUAUCUAAACAAAAAUAUAUGUUUUUCUGUAGUGUCACGAAAAAAAUUAAUGGGGACCACCAGAGAAUAUGACUUAAAAAGUUAAAGUUUUACUCAAUAAUCAGACACAUUUGUAAUCAGAAAAACGCGUAAGACCUAUUUUCAUCGAGGACGUGUACCUUUUCGUGUUGUCUUUCCCCCUAAAUGAUGUUUAAUAUUAGGCCUCCUAUCCGCGGUAGUCUUUGGCCUUGGAUUUUGAGAAAAGGUCCCCCAUCUACCCUGUAUUCCUACACUCCUUUUAAAACGAGGGCGUCAACCGGUGUCGGGCUUCGCGUCAGGCUUUUCUCUAAUUUUUUUCGCCAACAAUUUAAAGAAAAUAGCACGUUUUUCUUUCUCUAUUCAAAGUCAAGUACGUUUAGCUGACAGAAGCUAUUUUACAAUCAACGGGAUGAAAUGCGACAAAAGAAGCCACAAUUGAAAAGUAAAGCGUAGGCCUACAGUCGUUUAGUUCAGUGCACUCGUCAUUCAAGCAGACGACGGCUCGUUGCCUGUUCAGGCUAGCGUGGAGUGUUCAUGCUUGUUAGGAACCAACAACCGAGGGAAAACUGUCAGUAGUCAGCAUGAUGUGAUUACUGCCAAGAAAUGCAGUGAAUACGAGUCAUGUUUAUGAGGAUGAAGCCCCUCGCAAAUAAAAUUAACUGAGAUAACCCAUAUACACUACCAGAAUAUGAAGCUGUUGGAAUGUUUUGCGGGCAUCUGGUGCGGUCGCCGAUUACUGCGCUACACCCACGUGAUAUUUAUUAGCCAAAACGAUUACUUGUUACCGCUAACAUCAAAUGGUGUUUUAUGCUGAUAAACUUAUAGUUACGUCAAUUUUCCUGUUCUUCAGACCACUUAACAAGGAACAAUGUCCAUGUUGUUAUGGGCAUGUUUUGCGCAUUAACAGCAAUUCAAGAGGGAGUGAUAUUGACGUAAGUAAUAGCCAUUGGCGGAAACUGGGUCAAACAGUUGUGUGUGCGGUGAGAGAGGCACGCAAAACUUGAAAGUUCUGUUAAAAUCAACACAUCUUCUAGCUGUUGGACUUAUGAGUAUUUUACCGAUAUGAUAUUGUGUCACAGAAUUUGUAGAUUAUUACUAUUAACUUUGUUGGCAAUAUGUGGCCUCGUGACGAGUGAACCGGACGGCUAUUGUCGGCGAAUUCCCUCAGAAACAAGGGCCAGCAGAACUCCGGGAGACAACGGCUUUAAAAUACGAGUUAUUGGAACUACACCCCAUGCGACGUACACGCCUAACAAGAAGUACACCAUAACUUUAAAUGGCACAUAUCCCAGACAAAGACUUCUGGGGUUUAUGCUUGUUGCUGUUCCCAAGAAUGCUAGGGAUGAAAAUGUCACGAUAGGAAGGUUCCAGCAUGUGAGUGAUCAUCUCACGAAAAGUCACGAACGCUGUCCAAACGUCAUCACUGACCGCUACCCUGGAAUUAUCGAUGACAACUAUCGCUACCACAAGAUGGGGGUCACUGUCUUGUGGACAGCACCCCCUGCUGGUAGUGGCUGUGUAGAAUUCAGAGCUACUGUUCAAGAAUUAAAGGACAUUUGGUAUAAAGAUGAUGGGGCACUUACUAAAGAAAUAUGUGAAGACACAGGUUCUUCAAGAUCUAAAAGUGAGAAAUGGCCUGAUAAUGGUGAAUGCUGUGCCUGUGGGACGGCCAAAUACAGGAUGACCUUUCAAGGAAACUGGACUAGACAGAGACAUCCAAAAGAUUUUCCAACAGGUCACAUUGCCAACCUCAUCCACUGGUCUAAUCUGAUUGGGGCAACCCAUGGGCCCAGCUACAAAAUCUGGCAGUUUGGAGAUUACGCCUCAGAAGCAGUGAGAUGGGUCUGUGAAUAUGGCUCACCAGGAAAACUAGAGACACAAUUCAAGCAGCAUAGUUCAGCUAUCCGCACAGUGAUCAGUACCCAUGGAUUAUGGGGAAUGAGUAACUUGAUGAAGCCUGUCUCAGCUCAUUUCAGUGUCAGUAAGAAGCACCAUUUAAUGUCAGUACUGACCAUGUUUGGACCCAGUCCAGACUGGUGUGUAGGUGUUCCCAGUCUGAGUUUGUGCCUCCCUAACUGUACCUGGGCAGGGGACCAGACCAUUGACUUGUAUCCAUGGGAUGCAGGCACUGACAGCGGGAUCACCUAUGCUUCUCCCAACAUGAAGACUCAUCCUCAAGAGAAGAUCCAUAGACUGACCAACACCUACCCAGACAACAUCAAGUCUCCUUUCUAUGGCCUGUAUCCCAUCAAACCUCUGGCACAGUUACACAUCAAACGCCUCACCCCAGCAGCUGCCCCGGGACAGUGCACCAGUGAUGAGGGUGAUGAAGAUCCAGGGAUUGGCUUCCUUGAUAGAAGAGUGGAGAAAAAGCACAGAAAACACCAAAGAAAUAAGAACAAGGACAGAGACAGGGUUUUAUCAGAUGAAGAACAGAAGCAGAUGAUUAUGAAAAAAGCCAUGAUGGAAAAGUGUCCACUGUCAGAAUGGGAAGACUGGUCAAAAUGCAGCGUCACGUGUGGCAUUGGCAUGCGUGUGCGCUUCCGCAAAUAUCUCAAGGACGUGACUCCGGCUGAAUGUCAGGAUGAAUUGAUGGACAAGGAAGAGUGCUUGGGCUUUGAGAACAUCUGUAAUAAAAAUGACAAGUGUGCUACCACGAAUUGGUCCCAAUGGUCUCCCUGUAGUGUCACCUGUGGUAAGGGGGUCAGGGAGAGAACACGCAUGUAUCUCAAGCCAGAGAUGGUGCGGAGAUGUUCCAAGGACAUGACAGAGAGUGAGAUGUGCAUGACUGAGAUAAUGGACUGUAGGAAAGCUGAGGCCAUGCUGGAUUAUGCAGACAUUUGUCAAAAGCCCUACGAAGCAGGCAGAUGCAAAGGGAGUUUUAGGAGAUGGUACUUUGAUAAGGACAUGCAGAAGUGUCUACCUUUUGUCUAUGGGGGUUGCCGUGGAAACAAAAAUAAUUUUGAGACAGAGGCUGAAUGCAACCAGAAAUGUUCGACAGUGAUGCAAGCAAAUGCAAUCUUGAUGGCUAAAAAACUCAUGAUGCAGUUUGGACUCCAGAAUACUUCAUCAGAUUCUGACAGGAGAGGUCCUACCACUGAAGAAGUGUGUCUGGACCUUCCUGAUGUGGGGCCCUGUUAUGGGGACUUCCCAAGGUGGUAUUACAGCUUCCCAAUGGGGAAGUGCCUGCCGUUUAAGUUUGGUGGGUGUGGAGGGAAUAAUAACAGGUUCUUCUCACAGCCGGAGUGCGAGGAGAGAUGUGUGUCUGCUAUGGCUGACAAAGUUGCCAUGAUGGAAAAGCUGAAAAUGAUGCAGGGGCAGCAGCAUGGUGGAGGAAGUGAUGAAGAGAUCCAGGCAGCCAUGAUGGCUAAAAGGAAAAUGAUGCAGCAGACAACCGAAGAAAAUGAGAAAUCAGAACCUGAUAAAAUCGACUGCAUGGUGACACAGUGGACCGAGUGGUCAUCAUGCUCGGUCACGUGUGGCCGCGGGCGAGUGACACGCUAUCGGAUGAUCAAGGUUCAGCCUGAAAAUGGUGGGAAAAAAUGUCCCAAGAAGAUGCGACAGAGGAAAAAGUGCAAACAUAGGAAAUGUAGCAAAGGGACCCAUAAGACAGACACUGGUCAUCCUGAGAAGUCCAGUAGAGUACAGCCUGUACAGAAUACACAGUCGAGUAAUGAGUUUCGUAAGAGCACAGAGCGUGUAGACUGCGUGCUGGGAGGCUGGGGACCCUGGACGCCAUGUGCCAAGACAUGUGGAUAUGACAGCAUUCAGGAGAGGUCAAAACAUGUCCUUGUCGAGCCCCAGAAUGGAGGUAGACCCUGUGGACCAAAACUACAGAGGAGAUACUGUAAUUUACAACCUUGUUAUUAAUAGGGCCUGAAAGGAAAAAAAAGAAGGAUAAGUUGAAACCAGACAGUGGAUGAUAUUGAGGAAGAUUAAAAGAAGAUAUUAUUAAAUUUUAUUAUUAAAUAAGUACUUACAGACUUUCAAGCAUUACAAAUAUUCGUCCAAUGGGAUUCUUUUUUGUACUCAUUUCCACUUAAUAAAGGGCAUUUGAAAAAGAAUUAUCAUUUUAAAAUGUCCUGUAUUUCUUUUGGUAUGGUGCUUGUCGUUGACAUUUAUCGCAGUUUGUGUUCUUUCUAUUUCAACUUAGGUCAAGGUUGGGACACUACUUUCACUACCACUCACAGUUGCCAUUAAUAAAAUACUAUUACACAGUUUUAGUAUUACUUUUGUGCUUUUAACUGAUUGUCAUAAAGGAUUUUAUUACUUACAUUGUUUAUAUAAGAUAUUGUUUACUUAAUAUGUACAUAUGAGUAGUGAGUUGUGUUAUGAGUAUUAGACAAAAUAUUUAGAUUGUUAAAGAAAGAAUGUCAAUAACUUUUUCAUAUAUUGAACAAAGAAAGGUAUUGUUAGGUAACCUGUUGAGUAUUUUCAGAGAGAUCCAUUUUACUGAACUAUAUUGUACAGCAUGGCACUUUAAAACUGAAGUAAAUCAGUAUGCUUCUAUUUUUGAAAAAUCACAGUGUAAUUGUUAUUAAACUGUGUAUAUUGCAUAGAUUAUGUAAGUUUGUAUCACUAUCAAGUUGUUACUUUUCUAGCAUUGUAACUUGUGCACAGCUAUAUUUAUAUACACACAGUUACUUUAUUUCUCAUGUUGAAAUCCAUAGACGCUCUUCCCCUCAUUUAAAGAAAGAAAAGAGGAAAAAUCUAGCAAGGAAAUAUAUAUUUGAAAGUAAUUUGUGCGUGCAUCUUUUUACGUAGUAAUUGCAAUUUGGAAACCACAGAGAAUAAAAUUUAUGAAUUUCUAUCCUAGUGUCAACUGCUUUUAACUUUGGUACAAAGUAAAACCUUGUUAAUCAACAAUAUUUUUCUGAGAAAAAUUUUAGAAUUUUCGUUAAGAAUGCGCUAUUUUAUGGGUCUCUUUGGCCUGACAAAGGCCCCCUUCACACUAAACUGCGACCCAUGUGCGUCUCUUCUUCGACUAAAACUACAGAAAUGUAUUAGCGGCUUUUACGUUAGGUAUUUUAAUUUUGCACGUAUAGCUAGUUCUAUCCGUCGUAAAUAUACAAGGACCUUAAAUGGAAAUAUAAUUAUCAGAAUAGUCGAGGGAACUGCAACUGUAUAUCCCUUUACUCGGAAGUGAACCAGACCAUUACGAUUACCAUGACAAUAGACAGGUGAGCGUGCUCUCCAUCUAAACCAAUGAUCGCCUGACAGUGCUGAGAAGAUUCAGUGUUAGGUCUCUGCGUAUUCAGCCAUGAGGGAUCGCAAGAUACUUCUGACCUAUGGAUAAAAUUAUAUUAUCAAGAAUUCACGAAAAACAGAUUCAUCAUUUUAUGUUAAACUAUCGAAAUCACAUAGCUUCGCCUUCCUAAUGAGAACGAUUUCAAGCGCAGUACUCCUGAAUGAACAUGAGCUGUACCUGUUGUAAUUUACAUAACAAUAGGUCGCUCACGGCAGUGCGACCCAUCUUCAUAGUCACUUGACAGUAGGAUCCCGUGAAGAGAAGGCGGAUGGUUGGGUGUGGUGAAGAAGCUAGCAACAUUUGGUGUUGGAGCUUUGUCACUAGGAUUCCGUAAAGGGAAGAUGCAUGGUGUGUUGAAGCCGCAAGUAAUGACUCUCAUUCAGCGUUGAAGCUUUGUCAUAACUGCCGUCUCCUUUGUCAAGAUAAUGUAAACUGCGUCUGACAGAAGCCUGCCUUCGCUCUCCGGAUUUUGGAACAUGGCACGCAUCCACGCCCGCCGGCACACUUAUUACGAUUAGAACAGCUAUUUGAUAAAAAAAAAAAAUUUCUAGACACUUUAGCUUUGGAGGGGGGUGGCAUUGCAGUAGAGUAAAUGCAAUAAUGUUUGUUUUUUAAGUGUUUACAUUUCUAAAGUUUAAACUUAAACGUUGGAGUGCAUUUUUCCACCAAAUAGCUGGUCGAAUCUUGAAAAAAGAUUGUUCAAUAAAGUCGAUCAA